rnacentral:misc_RNA from 1 species
AAUUACCUGUGGCACACAGAUU